UACGUAGGGAGCAAGCGUUAUCCGGAUUUACUGGGUGUAAAGGGCGCGCAGGCGGGCCGGCAAGUUGGGAGUGAAAUCCGGGGGCUUAACCCCCGAACUGCUUUCAAAACUGCUGGUCUUGAGUGAUGGAGAGGCAGGCGGAAUUCCGUGUGUAGCGGUGAAAUGCGUAGAUAUACGGAGGAACACCAGUGGCGAAGGCGGCCUGCUGGACAUUAACUGACGCUGAGGCGCGAAAGCGUGGGGAGCAAACAGG
rnacentral:rRNA from 2 species